ensembl:lncRNA
CUCAUACUGAGAAGGCAAGGACAUUUCAGCUAAUCUUGGCUACAUCUGAUCCAGAGAACCACAGAAUUCUUCAGCAUGCUCUGAACUGAACACCUGGACUGCUUCUAGGUUUGAAAUAAAUGGAUCUGGGAUAGACAUUCUUCCUUUCACAGAAAUAAGGACCUGGCAGCAUUUGGCUGAGAUGCUCACCUUGAACUCAUAGAGUCACCAGGAACCAUGGCAAACUGCCAGGUCAAAGAGAUCUUUAUCAACUUGACACCUGCUAGAGCUUGCUGUGAUUCUCUGCUGAUGUUCUUGCUUGUUGUCUGACAAAAACUCACCUCUCAUUCCAAGCAAGAGGAUCAUAAGUGGUGUUAUCUCUCUGGUCCAAUUUUGAAGUCAUUUUUUCUUAAUGUAGCUCUGUGGUUACAGAAAAAUUUCACUUUGCAAAGAAAGAGUUACAAACGUGCCUAUUCUGAAGGCAUUCCAUAUGUAAACUUCUGUUUAUUUGUAGUGGUGUGGAUAAUAUUACUGUAAUAAAUGCCAUUGCUCUGACCAUCUUUCUGAAGCACAUAAUCUGUUUCAAUAUGUUUAUCCGGUUUUUCAAAAGUGUUUCCAGCAGUGACUACAGGUCAUUACCAAGGUCCUACAGGUGUAUUUUGGCUUGUGAACAUUCAUUGAAAACAAUCUAACAAAUACUUAUUAAUUCCAUCCUGCAAUGUGAUGGAAAGCACAGCAAUGACAGUGUAGCAGCAAGGUCCCAGACUACAACAAAUGAGGAUUUACUCAAAUGCAACAGCCGCAGAAAUAAAGGAAAGAAGCUGCUUACCUUCAGAAAGACUCAGAUAUCCAGAGGUAGUCCAUUCCCAGCAUGGAAUGAACAAGUCAUGACCCAUGGAUGCAGUUCACAGGAAGUCAUUUAUGUCCUUCGAUUUUUUUUUUUAAACUUGUCUACAAUUUUCAGUCUCUGUUAACAAUGUAGUCUAUGCAAUGAUCUGCACUGUUUCUCUUUGCAAAAUUUACUGUGUUAAUGGGUAAGCCUGAAGGAAACUUAAUCCUAAUUCAAGGAAUUUAGGAUUUAGUGUUCACAUUUUAUAAUUUAGAUAAUUUCCUUCCUUCCUUCCUUCCCUCCUUUCUUCUUUCGCUCCUUUCUUUCCUCCCUCCCCUCCUCCCCCCCGUCCUCCCUCUCUUUCUUUCCUUCUUUUCUUCUUUCCUUCUUUCCUUCUUUCUCUGGAAGUUCUGUCAACCACCUUGUCACAGGUGAGCCCUCUGUGUCCUCUGUGUAGAUGGAGAGCUUCAGAACAACUCAGGGAUUAUCAAUUUAGGAGGUCAGGCUGGGACCUCAGGCACAGUGUUGAUAUCUCCCUGUGCCUCAUUAUUAUAGCUACAGGACAAAUUUGAGUUUCAUCAUACUUCUCAUUUCUAACACUCAGCCUGGGAGACAUAAUG